CUAUCUUUCCGCCCGGGAUAACUAGCCGAAAGGUUAGCUAAUACCAGAUACGCUCAUCGUGCGGCAUCGCACAAUGAUGAAAGCAGUAAUGCGCGGAUUGAGGAGGCUGCGGCCCAUUAGCUAGUUGGUGAGGUAACGGCCCACCAAGGCGACGAUGGGUAGCUGGUCUGAGAGGACGACCAGCCACACUGGGACUGAGACACAGCCCAG
rnacentral:rRNA from 1 species